GUACUCUCACACUUCUGAUCCUUUUGGAUUGGGAGCGGUGGACUUGGGUGUUUGCUGCUUUACUGCGGCUCACCUCAAAUGCAUUAGUGCAACUCUUGGUUGGACAUAGUACGGCGUGAUAAGUAUCUUCGCCGGCACCUCGCAAGAGGGUGGCUGAUCAGGAGCUCUGUGCUCUCCAACUGUCUUCAGACAACAACUGACA
rnacentral:misc_RNA from 1 species